rnacentral:rRNA from 1 species
GGCGAACGGGUGAGUAACACGUGAGUAACCUGCCCUUGACUUUGGGAUAACUUCAGGAAACUGGGGCUGAUACCGGAUAGGAGCUCCUGCUGCAUGGUGGGGGUUGGAAAGUUUCGGCGGUUGGGGAUGGACUCGCGGCUUAUCAGCUUGUUGGUGGGGUAGUGGCUUACCAAGGCUUUGACGGGUAGCCGGCCUGAGAGGGUGACCGGCCACAUUGGGACUGAGAUACGGCCCAG